rnacentral:rRNA from 1 species
UUGUCUUUUAAUUGAGGGCUGGAAUGAAGGGUUGGACGAGGCAUUAGCUUUCUUUGAUUUAAUUUAGGAAUUUAAUUUUUGAGUUAAAAAGCUUAAAUUUAUUUAUGGGACGAGAAGACCCUAUAGAUCUUUAUAAUUUUAUGUUUUAAUAAUUUAGGGAUUUAUAUAUUUUAAGCAGAUGAAUUAUUUUGUUGGGGUGACUGUAGAAUUUAAAUAACUUCUAUUUUUUAUUUUCAUUAAUUAAUGUUUUUUUGAUCCAUAAUUUAUGAUUAGAAGAAUAAGUUACCUUAGGGAUAACAGCGUAAUUUCCUCGGAGAGUUCAUAUUGAUGAGGGAGUUUGCGACCUCGAUGUUGGAUUAAAAUAAGUUGUGGAUGCAGGAGUCUAUUUACUAGGUCUGUUCGACCUUUGAAUUUUUACAUGAUCUGAGUU